CUGAUCUUGUGGAAUUUUUCAUUAUUAAAACUAUAAUCCUUUUCAGUAAGGUUGUAAUUAAUUUUUAGUCUCCAAAACAUCCACAUUUUUCUGCAUAGUAGGAAUGUUGUUGCUGACUUAGUAAGUGUAAGGAUGCUUUGAGCUCAGUAAGGCCUAUAUGGACUGGAUCCUAAGCAGUAAGAUAUGACCCAGAUUUUCAAAGUUAGAGCAGAGACUUAAUUCCAAAAUACUUUUCUGACUCUAAAAUAUGUUCAGGUUUAUGUCUGACUUCACAUGUGAGCAACUCAAGACACUUUCUAUUGUCUGAUCUAAUGUUAGGCUUUAUUUUUCACACUUUGCAAAAGGACUAAUGAAUCUCUUGGCAACAGCAGAUGCUGUAAUUAAUUUGAAGGUAGAGGAUGUUCAGUGGAAUACAGCAAGGGCUUUAGUUCAAAAAAUGAACUUUAUAGUUCAGUUGGUUAUCCUUUUCUCUACAAGAAUGCAUAAUGUUUAGAGCAUCCAUUUUAAUAAAAAAGAAACCAGUAUUAAAACAAGCUAUAGACUCACAGAGCUUACUGCACUGCUUCCUCGUAAUCACUGUAUCAGAGGUUUGAGUAAUUUGAAUGUCUGAAGGAAUUUUUGCUGAAUCUGGGUUAUUUGACAGUAAAAUGGUCAUCAUUCCUUCCAAACAGAUAGAAGUUUGAUCAAUUUUAUUUCAGUGGCUUACAGCCAUAUGCUAUCUACAGUGACAUUUGCGAUCUAUUUUUGUUAUCCCCAAAUGGCCUUCAACCUAGCAGUUAUCUGCCAACAUGUUAAAGUUUUGGUCAGUGAAAAUCCUUUAGUGUCUUGGAAAGAUUCAUGAUGUUGUCUUUUGGCCAAAGUCCAUUAUGGGUAACUACAACUUUAUCUACAUUCAACGUAUGUAAUUGAGUGGCUGUGGUAUGGCACACUGUCAUUUGGCUUAAUUUCAAUCAACUAAGAUAACUCUCUGUAUUUUCUUUCCUACAACACUGUGUCAUGUUGCUGUAAAAAGCGAAACAGCUGCCACAUUCUCCUUCUUGAGGAUGCAUCCCAGAAUGGGCUGUUUCUUCUGAAAGGACAACGUAGCCUCCAAUUUGGCAGGUAUCUAGCAUGUCUUUCCAGUUUGAAGGCAAAAACCACUGGUCUUAUACACCAAAAUGCUCUCCAGUCAAUGGAUCCUUCAAAUAAUUUGGCCAAUGGUACACUGAAGAUUCAUGUUUCUACUACUCUCAAAAACAAGAUGAGAAAUUUACCUGGUUUUGUUUUGGUUUGUUUGUUUGGGGUUUUUUUGGGUUUGGUUCAGUUUACAUAUUUCAGAAGAUAUGCCUGCACAUUUUAAAUUUUUAAAAUAUGAUGAAUGCUGUGUGUUCUCAUUAUAGCUUUGGUAGAACUUAUUUCUCUCCAAGGGCAAACCCCAUGCUCUUAACAUCACAGAAGUUCCUCAACAUAAUGAGGUUCAGUCCAUAGGUAUGGCAGUUGUGAUCUGAGAGGGGAUGCUGGAGUCUUUCUCUUCCUGGAGUCUGA
rnacentral:lncRNA from 1 species